UUGCUCUAGUGGGGCGAUCAGAGUCCAUAGCACUGGGUGGGAAAACAUGAAAGAAAAUAAGUGAAAGUGACGUAUUCCUCCAGAAUAGCUAAAGGUCAGUGCUCACCCCAUUCAGCCACUGUAUUCCCUAGACUUAGCAUGACGCGGUUGUUUCUAAAAAUCAACGCCACACUUAGCGUGGUAAUGUGGCUUUGUACUAUGGCAACGUAGCUAAGCCGGAACUACGUUUCCCAGAAUUCCCUUGCCUGUAGGUUUCCGGGGUUAGCACAGGCCACGUGACCUGAUGCGUGCUUUGUGAGGCGGAAGUGAUGCAGCGUUGUCGUCUCGUAGGCUUGAAAGUUGCAUCUAGAAUGGAUACAAUCAGUGAUGCACAUUUACCAGAGGAUGUGCGGCGUUUACUGUUGAUUUAUCUCUUUUCCUGCCUUUCAUCUCAGUUUGGUUCCAGGAUCUACACUCCUCCACCAUAGUCAGGAGAUUCAGGAAAAGCUGGCAGGGUUCAGCUUUCAAGUUGACCCUUGACGAACCAUGGCCAAUCCUGCUAAGAGUCAUGAAAGUCAAUCCUAACCAAUGAGAUGGAGGAGAAAUCACUGAAGAACUUGUGGAAAACAGGCCCUCUAGAUAAAGAGAAAUGUGUGGGGAAAAAGGAUUUUUUUAAUGUUAUUCUGGAUGUUUCCCAAAAGUACUGCUGCUGCCUUGCCUUUCUGACAGACACUGGCUUUGGAUGACACGCCGCAAGAAGGAAGGACGGAUCUGGGGUUUUUGAAGACUCACUGAGAUGCGCAAUGAACCAACCCUGAAGUAGCCAACUCAUUCCUGUUUGCAUGUGUUGACUGAAAAGAAUUAAAAAAAAAUAUAACUUUACUUCUAAGAGGUUACAACUUGCAGGCAGGAAGCAGGCCUCUACCUGAGGCCAUAAAGCAUACUUUUAAGGAGAAAAGGUAGGUAUUUAUGCUAGGUGGAGAGGUAGGAUAUAAGUAUUCUGUAGCAUACAGGAGAAGCCUAUGAAAAUUCGUGGAGGAAACUUGUUAGACACGUGCCACUGGGCUUACCUAUGAGGAAUAUCUGAAAGUGGACGACCUAUGUUCACUUUGGGGUGAAGAUUUAACAUUUAGAUGUAUUAUAAUUA